AUGUCACUCAGAGCCCCCAGUCACCCUGCACCCCUUGCUGCAAGAAACUGUAGUGUCACCCCCGCUUCCUCUCAUGUCUGCACCUUUAUUGAUGACACUGUGUACAUUUCAGAAAGAAGGAAGCAGAGAAGGAGAUCAAGCCCCUGUCUGAUAGGCCCAAUCAUCUCUGAAGAUAAACAACUCGUUUUCUCCCAGGGCUGCAUCUCUGGAGUGUGCUCCUGCCCCCUACCCUGCCCCCUGGAGCAUCUGCCUGAGGCUCCACUCUCAAGCACCAGAGGGAUGGAACCAGAGAAGUGCAACCUCAAGAGGAGACAUCGAGGGAGGACCGUGAUCCAUGCAGCCUCCCUUUUGGUGGCCAGAGGCUGGGGUCACCUGAGCGAAUGUGGACAUCUGCUUUUGGACAUCCCUGUGAGCGCUUCUGGGUAUUUUUCCUGAGAUUCAAGGAGGUCUCCUUGCCAGCAUCUUUGCACCACAUUUGCUAUUUCUCAGCCUCCCAGAGAAUGUCAGGAAUUAGCCCCUGGGUGGCCUGACCUCCCAGUUAGGCCUGGGAAGCCGACAAAAGCCCCAGGAAGUUGGAAGAGCUAGGGAGAAACUGCACUGCUGUGGCUGCCCCACCUGCUUCUCCAAGUGGCCCGCAUCCUGCCUAUGGGCCCAGAGCUCAGGUCCCUAAUCAAGGAAAGAGCAGAGCAUAGAGGUUCGUGCUCAGCUGGGAAGACUUACAGUCUUGGAGCUGAGCAGUUUCGUGUCUCCUGGGUCCCCUUUGGCUCCUGCCUCACACAGUCAAUCCUAAUUCUCAUUUAAAAAAUACCAGCCUUUCGGGAUCCCUGGGUGGCGCAGCGGUUUAGCGCCUGCCUUUGGCCCAGGGUGCGAUCCUGGAGACCCGGGAUCGAGUCCCACGUCGGGCUCCCGGUGUAUGGAGCCUGCUUCUCCCUCUGCCUGUGUCUCUGCCUCUCUCUCUCUGUGUGUGACUAUCAUAAAUAAAUAAAAAUUUAAAAAAAAUAAAGAUUUAAAA
rnacentral:lncRNA from 12 species